rnacentral:rRNA from 1 species
UACGUAGGGUGCGAGCGUUAAUCGGAAUUACUGGGCGUAAAGCGUGCGCAGGCGGUUCGCCAAGUCAGGUGUGAAAUCCCCGGGCUUAACCUGGGAAUUGCGCUUGAAACUAGCGGGCUUGAGUGUGGCAGAGGGGGGUGGAAUUCCACGUGUAGCAGUGAAAUGCGUAGAGAUGUGGAGGAACACCAAUGGCGAAGGCAGCUCGCUGGGACGGUACUGACGCUGAGACGCGAAAGCGUGGGGAGCGAACAGG